AAGCAGUCGGUUUAACUAACAUUGAAUUUGUUUAACACAUAGACCUUCGAUAACAUUUAAUCCACUAGUCCUAUUUCACUAUACACCUAGGUCAUAAAUAAAAAUGAAAACUUCCUGUAUUUUGAUAUCAUUAAUCUGCGUAAAUGCCAUAUUGAUGGCUGAUAUAGGUAUAUUGGACUAUAUAGAGUUAGUUGAAAUUUCAAACGAGCAACUCCAAAAAGCUACUGAUUCUAAAGUCGCUAACGGAA